UUAAAUUAUUGGUUGGUAGUUCCAAUAGGAUCCAACCCACAUGGAUUGGAGCAUUAUUCAAGGGGAUGCUCACGGAGCUCUUGUAAUUAGAUGAUGCACGGAAGCCAAGUUGGUGAUGAAUGACAGACCAUGUGAAAAAGAUACUUGAGAAACAUGAGAGCUUCAAACAUGAGAGCUAGCGGUUCCUCCAUUUUGCCAUCAAAGUGCUUGGGUUAAAAGUAUUGAAACGAUUAGGACUAGUUUGGUAUUGAGUUUUGGGGCUAGUUUUUGCUUCUUCUUUUUUUCACCAUUUUCAUCUCAUUAGCUGUUUGGUAAAUAUUUUAAUCCAGCGUUAUUUUUACCAACUGCAACCCGAAACCACAAAAAUAAAAAGCAGGUGCUAGCAUGCUUUUUUUCAUCUACGUUUGUCGAACGCAUAGCGGAGAAGCGAUCACUUUAAUGAAAUUUUCAACAUUCCCCAA
rnacentral:lncRNA from 1 species